rnacentral:rRNA from 1 species
GACGAACGCUGGCGGUGUGCUUAACACAUGCAAGUCGAACGGAAAGGCCCUGCUUUUGUGGGGUGCUCGAGUGGCGAACGGGUGAGUAACACGUGAGUAACCUGCCCUUGACUUUGGGAUAACUUCAGGAAACUGGGGCUAAUACCGGAUAGGAGCUCCUGCUGCAAGGUGGGGGUUGGAAAGUUUCGGCGGUUGGGGAUGGACUCGCGGCUUAUCAGCUUGUUGGUGGGGUAGUGGCUUACCAAGGCUUUGACGGGUAGCCGGCCUGAGAGGGUGACCGGCCACAUUGGGACUGAGAUACGGCCCAGACUCCUACGGGAGGCAGCAGUGGGGAAUAUUGCACAAUGGGCGGAAGCCUGAUGCAGCAACGCCGCGUGCGGGAUGACGGCCUUCGGGUUGUAAACCGCUUUCGCCUGUGACGAAGCGUGAGUGACGGUAAUGGGUAAAGAAGCACCGGCUAACUACGUG